rnacentral:lncRNA from 1 species
UUGAAGCCUCCAUCAACUUCGGAGGUGGAGGUGCAACAUACUUAGCAACUAGGGCAACAGUAAUGCCAAACUUCUCAGAGGAAGAGCUGCUAUGGGACUGUUUCCUCUUUUUCUAUGGCGCAUCUACCUUUUCCUUGCCCUUAUCAACCCCCUCCAGAUGUUUGUCGGCCCUCUGCCUCGCUUCUUCAGCAUGAUCUUUGCUGAAGUGCUCAAGUUUUUCUUUCACGUGCAUGGCAGCUCCAAAGAAGGGUCGUAAAGCCUUGGAGCCCACAGUGGUGGUGGGAUUCAAAAUCGAAGCCAUGUCAGGAGUUGGGUACUUCUUCCUCCCAAAAUCAUUUGCAAACAGCGAAAGCAAUGUCAAAAUCUAAAGAAAGGAACUCCGUGAUUAAAAAGGGGGGUUUGGUGCUUACCCUUUGAGGCCAUCAGUCCGAAGUCUAAGAAGUACUUGCUUCAGUCAAUAAGUUGAUCAAAGUGGCAUAGCUUUAGAUGACUCCCACUUCCCAAGGAUGCAGGGUUGGAAAAGUGUUUAAAAGACAUACAGACGCAUAUCCUUCCCCAACAAGGUCUCCUUCCAAAGGAAGUAAGCCCCCAUAAUUGACUCGCGAAGCCAACGUAAAAGACCUAAGUACCGCCUUAAAAAAUGGGUAACUCUAUGGUGUCUAGGGUCCUAUAUUUUUCCCUAAGUUCAACCAAUUUGGUGGAGGUCAUAGCAGAAGGAAUUUUAGCAACCCCAUCCCAUCUCAUAGUCGAUGGGACCCUAACUCAUACCCAAUAGCCCCCCUCUGACCUACAAGGCACAACGUCUUCUCUCUUGUUGAUUAUACACUUGCCUUGAUAGAGUUAUGAUUGCUUUGCUUUGUUUGAGUUGUUUGUGAUUGGUUAUUAUUAUACAAUCAUUCCCGUAUAUCUCAUCAACGUCUGAACAUUUUUGUCUUGUAUCAUAGAAUAUCUCCCACGUUCAUAUACAAGAACUCCUUCGACCAAGUUUCCAAUCAACACAUGUUGGAAUUUACUCACUUGUGUAUACGAGUGGACCCGGUAUUUGUUGUCCGCAUCAUCCUAAUAGAAACCGAGGUCAACAUAAACCAUAGAAACUAUAUAAUUUUCUUUGAUCUUAUAGGAUGAAGCUAUCAAUGUAUGCAACUGUCACAACUAUCAUUCCAAACUUGGACGAUCUAUUUAGAAUACCAGGCCAUAUCCUUCUUUACUUGAGUAUCCUUUUUUGUCUGUGACUUUUGAUUUUUAAGCAAUUUGACACGAGGG